UACGUAGGGUGCGAGCGUUAAUCGGAAUUACUGGGCGUAAAGCGUGCGCAGGCGGUUCGACAAGUCUGAUGUGAAAUCCCCGGGCUCAACCUGGGAACUGCGUUGGAAACUGUCGGGCUAGAGUGUAGAAGAGGGGGGGUAGAAUUCCACGUGUAGCAGUGAAAUGCGUAGAGAUGUGGAGGAAUACCGAUGGCGAAGGCAGCCCCCCUGGGCUAACACUGACGCUCAUGCACGAAAGCGUGGGGAGCAAACAGG
rnacentral:rRNA from 1 species